rnacentral:rRNA from 1 species
ACAAGCGGAGGAGCAUGUGGUUUAAUUUCGAUGAUACGCGAGGAACCUUACCUGGGCUCGAACGUAAGAUGACUGUAGGUGAAAGCUUACAUCUCUUCGGAGCAUUUUACGAGGUGCUGCAUGGUUGUCGUCAGCUCGUGCCGUGAGGUGUCGGGUUAAGUCCCAUAACGAGCGCAACCCCUACCUUUAGUUGCCAUCAGGUAAUGCUGGGGACUCUAAAGGAACUGCCUACGCAAGUAGUGAGGAAGGCGGGGAUGACGUCAAAUCAGCACGGCCCUUACGUCCAGGGCUACACACGUGCUACAAUGGCCGAUACAGAGGGCAGCUACCUGGUGACAGGAUGCAAAUCUCCAAAGUCGGUCUCAGUUCGGAUCGGAGUCUGCAACCCGACUCCGUGAAGUUGGAUUCGCUAGUAAUCGCGCAUCAGCCAUGGCGCGGUGAAUACGUUCCCGGGCCUU